CAUACCUAUUCGAAGGGAUAGGGUCGGUUUGGCCGGAUUUCACACAGGUGUUGCAUGGCUGUCGUCAGCUCGUGUCGUGAGAUGUUGGGUUAAGUCCCGCAACGAGCGCAACCCUCAUCCUUAGUUACCAUCAGGUUAUGCUGGGGACUUUAAGGAAACUGCCAGUGAUAAACUGGGGGAAGGUGGGGAUGAUGUCAAGUCAUCAUGGCCCUUAUGGAGUGGGCUACACGCGUGCUACAAUGGUGAUUACAAUGGGCUGCAAGGUCGCAAGACUGAGCUAAUCCUAAAAAAUCAUCUCAGUUCGGAUCGUUCUCUGCAACUCGAGAGCAUGAAGUUGGAAUCGCUAGUAAUCGUGGAUCGGCAUGCCACGGUGAAUACGUUCUCGGGUCUUGUACACACUGCCCGUCACGCCAUGGGAAUUGGUUUCACUCGAAGCU
rnacentral:rRNA from 1 species